rnacentral:rRNA from 1 species
CGACCGGCGCACGGGUGAGUAACACGUAUCCAACCUGCCGAUGACUCGGGGAUAGCCUUUCGAAAGAAAGAUUAAUACCCGAUGGCAUAGUUCUUCCGCAUGGUAGAACUAUUAAAGAAUUUCGGUCAUCGAUGGGGAUGCGUUCCAUUAGGUUGUUGGCGGGGUGACGGCCCACCAAGCCUUCGAUGGAUAGGGGUUCUGAGAGGAAGGUCCCCCACAUUGGAACUGAGACACGGUCCAA